rnacentral:rRNA from 1 species
GUACACGCUGUGACUAGCAUAUCAAUAAGCGGAGGAAAAGAAACUAACAAGGAUUCCCCUAGUAACGGCGAGUGAAGCGGGAAGAGCUCAAAUUUGAAAUCUUAAAGGGUUUCCCUUUACGAAUUGUAGUUUAAAGAAGUGUUUUCUGUUGAGGUUUUGGUAAAAGUUCUUUGGAAUAGGACAUCAUAGAGGGUGAGAAUCCCGUAUUUGACCUUUACUUUCAACUUUGUGAUACACUUUCAAAGAGUCGGAUUGUUUGGGAAUGCAGUCCAAAAUGGGUGGUAAAUUUCAUCUAAAGCUAAAUAUUGGCGAGAGACCGAUAGCGAACAAGUACCGUGAGGGAAAGAUGAAAAGAACUUUGAAAAGAGAGGUUAAACAGUACGUGAAAUUGUCAAAAGGGAAGCGUUUGACACCAGUGUUGUUUUUCUGAAAAUCAAUUAAAGAACUGUUUAUGCUAAGCUGUUUAGACUUUAUCAGCUAUCUGUUUAGUUUUGAGCUUUUCUUUAAUGCACUUUUCAGUUAACAAGUCAACAUCAAUUUCUUUUGCUGUAAAAAAGCUUGAGGAAGGUGGCUUGAGAUUCGUCUUAAGUGUUUAUAGCCUCUUGCCUAUGCAGUCGGAGAGAUUGAGGUCUGCAGCGUAGAUCCUUCGGGGCUAAAUGCAUUUGUGCUAAGUUAUAGCAUUUUAUAGACAACUUGUCGACUAUGAUUUGUCUUGUAGCUUACUCGCUUAUGUUAUUUUACCUACGCUUAGGAUGUUGAUAUGCAUGACUGAUAU